CUGGAGGGUGCUGAUGUCCCUAAAACAAACUCCAACUAAAGAGGCAGAAUUCAGUGCAACAAAUAUUUAUUUUAGGUGCCUCUCUAAGCAAAUCUGGCCCUGUCUACUGUCACUAUUAAUGUCUUUAUGGCUUACAUUGUUGACCGAUCCAGACCCCCUUCUCCUUAAAGACACAGCCUACCACCUUGCAGUGGCAAAAUACCCUUCCCUCAGAGUACACAAUUGGGUGCAGCAUCCAGGUUCUUGCUCCCUCCUGUCACUCACUAUCACCUGCCUAAGAUGCAGUCAACCCGGGGCCUUGUAGUGACAAGGGCAAAGGGCUGCCUCCGCUGGCACAGGUGGCGUGGGGGGGGCAUAAGAGAAAUGCGGCAAGACUGCUUGCCACCCUCGCUUAGCUGCACCUAUCACACUGCUCCUGGCCUGGGAGCCCCAAGUCUAGAAUCCGUGGCUCCCUCCCGUCUCGAGAUCCCUUGCUCCAGCUCCAACCAAGGAUUCCUCUGACAAUGUCCCUCUCCUAGUGGCCGUUAGCUCGGCCCAAGAACUGGCUCUCCGGCCGGGGCAGGCGCAGGAACCGUGUGGGAUUCUCUGGCUCGCGGUCGGCACUAAGGGAGCGCGCGCCCCCGCGCGCCUGCGUACUCGUGCUCGUUCCCGGGCAUCCCUUCCCCGAACUCAGCUGGGGGGAAGGUUCACUGCUAGAGCAGGGCGGGCGGAGGGAAGACGUGGAGUGCUUCCCGUGCGGGGUUUCCCACAAUGCACCUUCGGCGGCGGCGGCGCUCUAGCCGGGGCAUGUCUGCAUCUCGACUGCUCUGGGAGGAGGAAGAGAAGGAGGAAGAGGAGGAGGAGGAGGAGGGGGAGGAAGAGGAGAAAGGCGCAGGGGUGGGAGCUAUUGCUGAAGCUGCCACCACCAAAGUUUCUCCCCCCUCCCCCCCUUCCCCUCCUCUCACGGCCCAUAGAAUGGCCGGAACCGCUGCCGCCCCCGGUUGGUGACCGCGCUGUUCGCCGCCCGCGUGGCACAAAUUCCAACCCAGGACCCUGAUAGAGUGAGAGCCAGAGAGAGAAAUGGGCAAGGGAAAGGGGUGAAAGGAAGGAGGGAAGAAAUACAUACGGGAAGAAGAAAUGGAACAGAAAGAGAUAAUCACAAAUAGGGUACUUGUUAGUUCAUUUGAAAGAGGCAGGAUGAGUAGCUUAGUAUUAUGGGGGUUAAAUGUUAGUUGGAAAAGUUGAAGCAUGUAGGAGAUGGUUUCUAAUUUUUUUGCUCAGGUACAUGGAUUUUGGAUUUAAGCCUUUAAUAAAGUCCUUUAAUAAUACCA
rnacentral:lncRNA from 1 species